UACAGAGGUCUCAACCGUUGUUCGGAUUCAUUGGGCGUAAAGGGUGCGUAGGCGGUCGUGCAAGUCGGAUGUGAAAUCUCAGGGCUCAACCCUGAAACUGCAUUCGAUACUGCGCGGCUAGAGUGCUGGAGGGGAGACUGGAAUUUACGGUGUAGCAGUGAAAUGCGUAGAUAUGCGGAGGAACACCGAUGGCGAAGGCAAUCCCCUGGGCCUGCACUGACGCUCAUGCACGAAAGCGUGGGGAGCAAACAGG
rnacentral:rRNA from 1 species